rnacentral:lncRNA from 1 species
AGAAACGGAACCAGCGGGAACCUUGACCUGAGACUUGCAGCCUCCAGAACUGGGAGAAAAUAGAUUUCUGUUGUUUCAAGCCCCCGAGCCUGUGGUAUUUUGUCCCAGCAGCCUGAGCAGGCUGAAAUGGUCCCAAGUUCUUGUCCCACAUCCAGAAGAAUAAGGUUAUGCAGACAACCAGAGAGUGAGCAGGGCAGAAAAAAACUUCUAUUGCAUGAUGGAACAGCUCCCAGCGUUGAGGGGACCUGAGAGUGGGCAGCCACUACCUGAAGAGGGACCACGCUUCGCUUAUCCAGUCGUCAUUCACGGACCCUGCAUUGUCUCUGCCUCUUGGGCUUUGUGAAGAAUGCUGCUGUGAACAGGGGAGUGCCCCUGCCUGUUUGGGUCCCUGCUUUCCAUUUCUUUGGGAGGUACGUGGAGAGGAGAUUGCGGGGUCAUGUGGUCAUUCUGUUUGGCUCUUGGAGGAGCAGGCAUCCUGUUUUCCACAGCAGCUCUGCCAUCAAAUGGCACUUUCUUAGUGACACCUCCCGUAUCUCUCCCCAUAAAUGUAUCUCUCCCCAUAAACAUUGCAACUCCUGGCUCACCUUCCUUCUCCUGUAACUUGUCACUGUGGAACUCUCAGGUGUGCCUGAGCCGACUCGUAGCAGCCCAGGAGGGCCAGCAGUGAGGCCCCUUCCCCACUCCGUGGUCAGUGCCUUCACACAGGGAGUUUGGAGGUGGCUGUAGUGGGAGGACUCACACCGCAGAAAUCAGCCAGUGCUGCAGGUCAGGGGCCGCCAUCCCCCAGAGCUGCUGUGAGACAUCGACCAGCACAUCAGUGGGCUGCUUUCCGCUGGUUUUAUUUGCAUGUAUUUUGGUCUGUUUCCCUACCUAGAAAAUAAACUCCCUGUGGCAGAAGUUUUAUCUCUCUGCUCCCUUCUUGGUUCCCAGCUCUUGGAACAGAACCAGACUUCUGGCCGGGGCUCAGUCAGUGCUUGCAAGAUGUUUGUUGGCACCAGGCUGUGCCAGGAGAGGUGAGCUCUGAGAGGGCAGUGUGAGGAAGGAGCAAGCCUCGCGGCUCUCUUUGGAGAAAAGGCCCGGGUGACAUUUUAUGCGUCCUUUCCCUUCCCCUGAGGCAGCACGAUCGGCUUCUCUGUGGGCACAGAGGCCUGGGUUCUCGCCUCGCUCUGCCCGAAGGGUGAGCAGCUCCAUCAGUCCUGUCUGCGCGGGAGAGCGCCUCCAUGCCCCUUAGUGCGGUGCCUCCCAGCCUUUAUAAUGUCAGGGUACGGCUAGAAAAUAUGAUUUCUACAGCACAUCAGGGCCAAAUGGAGGGCGUUGUUGGGUGCAUCUCUUUGGGCCUCAGUGAACACUUUCACUAAAUUCUUUACAUGCAAUCAUGCACUGCAUAGCAACAUUUCUGUCAAUGAUGCACUGCAUAUUCAACAGGGGCCUCGUCAGAUGAUGAUACCGUGUUUUUGCUGUAACUUUCCUAUGCUUAGAUACACAAAUCCUUACCAUUGUGUGACAGUUGCCUGCAGGAUUCAGAGCAGUGACCUGCUGUACAGGUUUAUAGCCCAGAAGCCAUAGACUGUGCCACGUGGCCCGGGUGUGUAGUGGGCUGUACCAUCUAGGGGUGUGAAAUCACCUAAGGACACCUUCCUUAGAACCUAUCCCAGUCAAGGGAUGCGAGGCUGAGUAACGGGGCCCCUUGGGAGUUCAGCACUCAGCAUGUUUCAGUGAGUGACUGAAAUAAUGAACGUUCUGAUCGGGCCCUCUCUGGCUGGCACCUGUGAACCACUCGCUUUGUACCCAUUAUUUCUUGUUCCCACAGCAUCAUUAUAAACUGCUGAUCUACUGUUUCUUUGUCAAACGGGAGGAGAUAACAUGAGGGUCAUGAGAAAUGUUUGCAGACGGAGUGAAUGCCUUGAAAGUGCUGCGACCAGGUGCUGACACCCGGAGGUCUGGCUGCUCAAAGUGUUAGCUGACACGGAAGACACACGGACUUUCCCUCCAUUCCCCAAAACUCCCCUUCCCUGACUCGUCAGCUGCAUAAAAACCCUCUCCUUAUCUCUUUGUCAAGGGGAUUUGAGA